rnacentral:rRNA from 1 species
CGGACGGGUGAGUAACGCGUGAGUAAUCUGCCGGGAAGUGGGGGAUAGCUCGCCGAAAGGCGAAUUAAUACCGCAUAUGACAAGGGAAGACAUCUUUCCGAAGUCAAAGUCGCAAGACGCUUCCUGAUGAGCUCGCGGCCUAUCAGCUAGUUGGUGAGGUAACGGCUCACCAAGGCUAUGGCGGGUAGCUGGUCUGAGAGGACGACCAGCCACACUGGAACUGAGACACGGUCCAGACACCUACGGGUGGCAGCAGUCGAGAAUUUUUCACAAUGGGGGAAACCCUGAUGGAGCGACGCCGCGUGGAGGAUGAAGGUCUUCGGAUUGUAAACUCCUGUCAUGCGAGAACAAGAAAGUGAUAGUAUCGCAAGAGGAAGAGACGGCUAACUCUGUGCCAGCAGCCGCGGUAAUACAGAGGUCUCAAGCGUUGUUCGGAUUCAUUGGGCGUAAAGGGUGCGUAGGUGGCGUGGAAAGUUGAGUGUGAAAUCCUAGGGCUUAACCUUAGAACUGCACUCAAUACUCCCAUGCUAGAGGAAUGUAGAGGAGAGUGGAAUUCACGGUGUAGCAGUGAAAUGCGUAGAUAUCGUGAGGAAGACCAGUUGCGAAGGCGACUCUCUGGGCAUUUCCUGACACUGAGGCACGAAGGCCAGGGGAGCAAAAGGGAUUAGAUACCCCUGUAGUC